rnacentral:ncRNA from 2 species
ACUGCAUAGUGGGGAACAGGUGGCCCUUCAGGGGCUGAAAAGGGAAGUCCGGUGCGAAUCCGGCGCGGUCCCGCCACUGUGAGGGGGAUCUGCCUUGCAGGAUGCCACUGUCCGGCAUUCAAUAGAUAACCUGCAGACCGGCUGGAACCUUGAAAUGAUAUUGCGUGCUGGAUGGGAAGGCGCAAGGCAGGAGAUGAACCCGAGCCAGGAAACCUGCCUGUUCGACGGACACCGU